CUAUCUGGCCAAGCCAGUGACUGUGGAGGUCAAGAAGGAGACUCAGGAGGAAUCUAAAAACACAGCUAUCAAGUGUCAAGGGAUAACAUGGUCGCAGCUUGCAGGCAAACCCCAGUCUUCCAGGUAUUGCAAGACCCUCCUGGAAUUGGGCCUUGUAUACAGAGACCUUCAAAAAAGGGAGCAGAGGAGUGUAGCUGGCAGGCAGCAAAAUGGUACCCUGCUGGGCACCAGAUUCUGAAUUCAGGCAUAGACCUUGCCAAGAAAAUGCCCUCCAGUCCCAUGUCAUUGCCGUGACCUUGCGUUCAGACAUUGCUCACCACAGUUGCCUAGGCAGAGUCUUGCUCCUUCUUUCUCUCUCUCCUUCCUAAGCCAGCUAUUAACUUUUCAGUCAGGUUUCCUUUUUCACCUCCCCUCUCCUCCCCCGGAGACCUCCAUGGCAGCUAAUUGGACAUCUUUCCGAUUUGCACCCUCCAAGCAAGACAUUGCAGGUUAAAGAGGCCCCUGUAUCGUGGCCUCUGAGGCUUUGGAUGGUGUGUGUGUGUUUCUGUGUGUGUGUUGGGCGGCGGGAGGCAGUGAGAGGAGAUGGAGGAGAACACCUGAGAAUUAGAUGCAGGCAAAAGAUACUGCACUCUGAAGCUUUGAUGGCCCGCUUUUCCCAGAUCCCCCUCUUUGCCACGUAAAACCCAAUCAAUGCCCCCUUAUUUUCCAAACUGCCUUCUCUCUCUCUCUCUCUCUCUCUCUCUCUCUCUCUCUCUCUCUCUCUCUCUCCCUCUCUCUCUCCUGCACACACGGACUCAAAUUCCCCCCUGUAAGCUUAGGACAGAAGAGUCGCAGAAAUCAAUUCCCCGAUCCAUGCCAGGCCGCCCCUUGGAAAGAGACGUCAGUCUCUCAAGCAGAAGAGGGAGCCAGGAAAGGAAAGCAAUGCGUCCAACAGCCAAAGCUUUCUCCAGCGCUCAGCUACCGCCGUCUCACGGCUGCUUUUGCAUUGACUGCUGGCGCCCUGGGGUAGCCUUUGAAACAGUGUAAGCUGCAAAUUGCUCUUCUGGACAUCAGUCCCGGAGACUCCACGCAGAGAGAGCAAAAGCAGCAGCAUAUGUUUCCAUCAAGGCUCGGAGUGCAGAGCAAAUUCUAUCUCCAGGCCUGGUAUGGCAUCUUAGGGGGCCUUUGCCAGACCACCUCAAUGCAUCAGAGGCUCGGGCAGCCCACAAAUGUGAUCCCGCUGCUGCGAGGCAGCUCCCCGCUCCCUUGCCCACCAGCUCCCCCCAGAUCCACUUAAGCAAUACAGAUCUUAGCGAUCUACAAGCAGACAGCAGCCUAUGCUGCAGGAAAAGGGGUCCGUCGCAAAGGAAAUUAAUUAUUUUAAUUAAUAGACCAGUUUAAGUCUAUAGGAUAGAUAGUCCCUUAGUCUCAAAGGCACCACACAGAAUGCUUUCUGUUUGGGCUGAGUGAGCAGAGCGUUUCAGCCCUGUUCUUGAGUUUGUUUAAAAACAGCUUAUCUUGUAUUCCUUUCUCUGAAUUUGUGCCAUUUAGGUUUUUAAACCUUUUUGUAAAAGCAGCACUAGAAUUUUCACAAGUUGAGUCCUCAACUUUCUAUUACUGUGCUUUGCUUCCGUCAAGCUGGGCUGUGUUUAAAACUUGCCAUUUAGGUUUUCAAACCUUGCUUGUAAAUUCAGUACUAGUAACUGUACUUUUGGGUCUUCUAGUCUUUAUUAAUUCGCUUUGCUUUACCUAGGUCGAGCUAGGAUUACAAUACUUCAGAAUUUUGGGGGGAUCUACCCUUUUUUUUGAAAUUGUGGUCAUUUAAAGUUUAUGAUUUUUCUAUUGCCUUCUGAGGAAACUGAAUAGUUCAGUGAAAUGAGGUUUGUAGCUGGCAUCCCGUCAAGGCUUUGUUCAAUUUUAAAAGGUAAAGGUAAAGGGACCCCUGACCAUUAGGUCCAGUCGUGACCGACUCUGGGGUUGCAGCGCUCAUCUCGCUUUACUGGCCGAGGGAGCCGGCGUACAGCUUCCGGGUCAUGUGGCCAGCAUGACUAAGCCGCUUCUGGCGAACCAGAGCAGAACACGGAAACGCCGUUUACCUUCCCGCCAGAGCGGUACCUAUUUAUCUACUUGAACUUUGUGCUUUCGAACUGCUAGGUUGGCAGGAGCAGGGACCAAGCAACGGGAGCUCACCCCAUCAUGGGGAUUCGAACUACCGACCUUCUGAUCGGCACGUCCUAGGCUCUGUGGUUUAACCCACAGCACCACCCGCGUCCCUUGUUCAAUUUUAGGUUGUUUUAACUUUUUCCUUAAGCGUUUUCAUUUUUCUUAGUUGAUUUUUCUUAGUUUAUUUCCACAAGAUAAUAUUUCUAGUCGAUUACUUCUCAUUUCAGGGAUUUUCAUGGUAUUUCAUUUGUUUUGUGCAAUUUCUCAGUUCCGUGACUGUCAUUUUUCUAUCAGUGAGCAGAGGAAGCAGGGGACAGGUUCCCUGACUUUUGCCCUGACAAUUGUUUUUGUCCUUUAAAUUCUACCAAAGGACACAUUUCCCCAUCUUCAGAAAGCAACCCUGCCUCUCUCUUUCUGAAGCUGGAACUCUCAGGCUGCCUUUCCGAACGACUGCCUUCGUCCCACCGGGGACGGCUGCUGUGUCCAUUUGCAGCUUUGUUCUGUGUCACAGUGAGAAAACGUGAGGUUGGGGAGGAAGGAAAUGGGAAGGAAGCCCUGGGGCCUGCUGCCCCUGCCACGCCCCCACCCAUCCCUCGACCCUGUGACCCACACACUUACGCGUUGUGGAGCACACACCAUCCGCAGUGGGGGUCCCCUGAGCCCAGGCACUCGCUGCAGCUUUUGUACUGUCCGCAGGACUCCACUGGCACUCGGGUGAGCUGUGGACGACAAGGGGAGAGGAGUCAUGCUGAGUUUGCUUACGUUCAGUUUGCAAUUCCAGACAGUGUUGUGAAGCCCUGGAGAUUAAAACCUAUUCACGUAUACUACCCAGUAAUAAUAAUAAUAAUAAAGACGUCUGCUUCUUGAGCGAAAAGCAAUGAUAAACUUAGACAGCAUCUGAAAAAGCAGAGACAUCACCUUGCCAACAAAGGUACGUAUAGUUAAAGCUAUGGUUUUCCCAGUAGUGAUGUAUGGAAGUGAGAGCUGGACCAUAAAAAAGGCUGAUGGCCGAAGAAUGGAUGCUUUUGAAUUAUGGUGCUGGAGGAGACUCUUGACUGCAAGAAGAUCAAACCUAUCCAUUCUGAAGGAAAUCAGCCCUGAGUGCUCACUGGAAGGACAGAUCCUGAAGCUAAGGCUCCAAUACUUUGCCCACCUCAUGAGAAGAGAAGACUCCCUGGAAAAGACCCUGAUAUUGGGAAAGAUGGAGGGCGCAAGGAGAAGGGGAUGACGGAGGACGAGAUGGUUGGACAGUGUUCUCGAAGCUACCAGCAUGAGUUUGACCAAACUGCGGGAGGCAGUGGAAGACAGGAGGGCCUGGCAUGCUCUGGUCCAUGGUGUCACGAAGAGUCGGACAUGACUAAACGACUAAAUAAUAAUAAUACUAAUAAUAAUACUAAUACUACUACUAAUAAUAAAUAUAUUUAUACCCCACCCUCCCCAGCCAGAGCCAGGCUCAGGACGGCUAACACCAAUAAAAUCACAGUAAAAACAAAAUAGCGGAAAAAGAGGAAGAAAAAAAACAACAAUUUAAAAUACAGGUUAAAAUGCAAUUUAAAAUGCAGCCGCAUUUUAAAAUAGCUGAUAAAUUAAGACCAUAAAGGGAGGGAAACAUAAGGGUCAGACUGAGUCCAAACCAAAGGCCAGGCGGAACAGCUCUGUCUUGCAGGCCCUAGUCUCUUGUGACAGAGCGUUCUACCAAGUCGGGGCCAGCACUGAAAAGGCCCUGGCCCUAGUUGAGACCAAUCUAAGGUCAUUUGUGGACCUUAAGGUCCUCUGCGGGGCAUACCAGGAGGGGCAUCCAACAACUCUGUAAGGUGGGUCUAGGUAUUCCAAGCUGACUCACGUGAGUGUGCAUUGAAGAGGGAGUGUGACUUGCCCAAGAGUACAUACUGAGUUCCUGGUUCACCCUAGAAAAGCCAGCAUGAUAAUAAUAAUAAUAAUAAUAAUAAUAAUAAUAAUAAUAAUAAUAUAAAAAAUAAUUAUUUAUACCCUGCCCUCCCCAGCCAAGACCGGGCUCAGGGCGGCUAACACCAGGUAUAAAAACAAUUGACUGAAAUACAACUUAAAAACAACAUUAAAAUACAACAUUAAAAAUGCAGCCUCAAUUUCAGUAGAAACUCAAAUCAAAAACUUUUUGGGGGAUGAAAACAUCAAGUCUUCACCAAGGCUAACUAUCCAGACUGGUCCUACGUGGGUCAGGAAAAGCCCAAGGAAGUCCCCAAAUAGGAAUUCCAUCACAGAAGGAGAAAGGAAAAAGGAAAGAGGGGAAGGGGAUCAAGUUGAUUCCAAGCCAAAGGCCAGGCAGAAUAACUCUGUCUUACAGACCCUGCGGAAAGAAAUCAGAUCCUGCAGGGCCCUGGUCUCAAGAGACAGAGCGUUCCGCUAAGCUGGGUCCAGUGCUGAAAAGGCCCUGGCUCUGGUUGAGGCUAAUCUAACUUCCUUAGGGCCCAGGACCUCUAGGGUGUUGCUAUUUAUGGACCUUAGGGUCCUCCGUGGGGCAUACUGGGAGAGUAGUUAGAGUGUUGGACUAAGUACCUGGGAGACUUGGGUUCAAAUCCCCACUCAACCACGAAGCUCACUGGGUGACCUUGGGCCAUUCGCUGCUUCUCAGCCUGACCUACCUCACAGGGUUGUUGUGGGGAUUAAAUAAGCGAGGGAACAAUUCACACCACCUUGAACCCCUUGGUGGGAAAACUGGGAUAAAAAUGCAAUAAAUAGCAGUGGUAAAUUGCUUUGGAGUGCUGCUUCCAUUCAUAGCACACAACGCUGAGCUAAAUGGACCAAGGGUCUGGUUCAGCAAAUGGCUUGUUCAUUUGUAUUCAUGUUUAACAAACGCACAUCCCCUGCCUUUUCAGGAAGUUCAAGGUAACGAACAACAAUAAAAAUUAACAGCACAUCAUGCAUAAAAUUCAGAAACAUUAUAAAAAAGGCCAUUGUGAAAUGGAAUGCAUAUUAAAUGCUCUUGUUAAAACUGGGAACAAUAAAGUCAGCAACAGAAUAAGGAAACAGGUGAUCAAAGGCUUCCAUAGAUCUAUAUCUAUGGCAAGUUUUCACCAUUUGGUGGAAAACCAGUAAGAUGAGACAAGAUGAGCCUCUCUUGGGAGAUGCCCAGUAAUGGGUGACUAUUCCCAUUUCAGUUUCCCACUUCUCUAAAGCUUCUUUCACUUCUCCACAUAUCGUUACAUGUUUGUUUGUUUUUAAAGUCCUAAUGAAAACUCACCAGCAAAUAUCUCCUAGCAUGCACAUAUUUGUAUGCAAUUUUGCAUUAUAGGCACAUUUUUGCAAAGCGAUUUCCCCUGAUACAACGUGUAUUUUCCUGCACACUUUACCCUAAUAUGUGCAUUUCUGUACACAAUACUUGGCUCACAGUUUGCACUGCAAAAUUUUGAAGGACAGCCAUGUUUUGGUUCUCAUAUUGUUUUGGAAAGGACGAAUUAGGUAGGUUUGCCUUUAUACGUUAACCGAAUCAAUUUUCUUGCCAUUUCUAAGUUCGACCACCAAAGAGGCUCUCUCUGUGGUUCCAGAUAAAUGAACUGUGGUCCCUGAUCAUUAAAGAACUGUGGUGCCCAAUAAUUAAACUAAAGCAGUAGAUGGAAUACAAAAGACUGCAUAAGGUACCUUCAUAAGGUACCUCUCUUUCAAAUCAGAUCCAGCGAAGGCGGUGAAGGUCCUGUGUGAGUGCCUGAAGGCGGUUGGAGGAUGGAUGGCAGCUAAUGAAUUGAGGUUGAAUCCUGACAAGACAGAAGUACUGUUCUUGGGGGACAGGGGGUGGGCUGGUGUGGAGAACUCCCUGAUCCUGAAUGGGGUAACUGUGCCCCUGAAGGACCAGGUGCGCAGCCUCAGAGUCAUUUUGGACUCACAGCUGUCCAUGGAGGUGCAGGUCAAUUCUGUAUCCAGGGCAGCUGUCUACCAGCUCCACCUGGUACACAGGCUGAGACCCUACCUGCCCGCAGACUGUCUCACCAGAGUGGUGCAUGCUCUAGUUAUCUCCCGCUUGGACUACUGCAAUGUGCUCUACGUGGAGCUACCUUUGAAGGUGACCCAGAAACUACAACUAAUCCAGAAUGCGGCAGUCAGACUGGUGACUGGAGGCAGCCACCGAGACCACAUAACACCGGUCUUGAAAGACCUACAUUGGCUCUCAGUACAUUUCCAAGCACAAUUCAAAGUGUUGGUGUUGACCUUUAAAGCCCCAAAUAGCCUCAGCCCAGUAUACCUGAAGGAGCAUCUCCACCCCCAUCGUUCUGCCCGGACACUGAGGUCCAGCUCCGAGGGCCUUCUGGCGGUUCCCUCAUUGCGAGAAGCAAAGCUACAGGGAACCAGGCAGAGGGCCUUCUCGGUACCCUGUGGUACGCCCUCCCAUCAGAUGUCAAAGAGAUAAACAACUACCUGACAUUCAGAAGACAUCUGAAGGCAGCCUUGUUCAGGGAAGUUUUUAAUGCGUGUCAUUUUAGUGUAUUUUUGGUCUUUGUUGGAAGCCGCCCAGAGUGGCUGGGGAAACCCAGCCAGAUGGGCGGGGUACAAAUAAUAAAGUAUUAUUAUUAUUAUGGCAAGGGUUUACAAAUCACUUUGUGUGUUAAAAAUCAUGCCACUACUGAUGAACAGGCACCCUCUAGGUUCAAACGAUUUCUCCCCACUAUUAAGGAAAAGGUAGCUUUCUAUGGACACAUUUACAGCCAUUCUCCCACAUCUGACCCAUUUCCAGCCCGAGCCUCUUGGUGCUAAAAAUGCUUCCUCCCAUGCUGCGAUGAUCAUGGAGCUUUCUCUGGUCCAGUGGGACACCUCCACCAC